GAUGAACGCUGGCGGCGUGCCUAAUACAUGCAAGUCGAGCGAAUGGAUUAAGAGCUUGCUCUUAUGAAGUUAGCGGCGGACGGGUGAGUAACACGUGGGUAACCUGCCCAUAAGACUAGGUUAACUCCGGGAAACCGGGGCUAAUACCGGAUAACAUUUUGAACCGCAUGGUUCGAAAUUGAAAGGCGGCUUCGGCUGUCACUUAUGCAUGGACCCGCGUCGCAUUAGCUAGUUGGUGAGGUAACGGCUCACCAAGGCAACGAUGCGUAGCCGACCUGAGAGGGUGAUCGGCCACACUGGGACUGAGACACGGCCCAGACUCCUACGGGAGGCAGCAGUAGGGAAUCUUCCGCAAUGGACGAAAGUCUGACGGAGCAACGCCGCGUGAGUGAUGAAGGCUUUCGGGUCGUAAAACUCUGUUGUUAGGGAAGAACAAGUGCUAGUUGAAUAAGCUGGCACCUUGACGGUACCUAACCAGAAAGCCACGGCUAACUACGUGCCAGCAGCCGCGGUAA
rnacentral:rRNA from 1 species